ACAUUUACCUUGAAUACUUUGUCGUGGCUUAGGCAUGUUUUUAAAACAAUUAGACCAGUUUACGCUUCAAGAUCACCCUUUUAAAGUGGAAAAUAUUGCAAAACAACAAAUAUGCCGAGAACUUUGGUAACAUUCGCAAUACGCGUGACGUCACGUUUUUCAACAAGGAUGCAGUCAAUGACGUCAGAAGUUUCCAAUCCAUUUAUUUUAUUAUCCAUGAUCAGAGUGACACUUCUGGUCGCAGACAUGUAUCUAUUCUGUGACUCGAUAGUCCACUGACGAAUUUGAUUUGUGCACGCCCUUUUAUACUAACGGUUGAAGGGAUCUUUGUACAUGUGAUCCGACGAGUGGUGUGAUUUGUAUCCAGCCAAUCAACAUUGAGUUAUAAAAGUGUGGCAACGCAUUGCUACAGUAGCUCGUUCCAGACGUUGUCGCACUGGUCAAGUCGAUGCGCUGUUCAAUCGAUUAAGGUUUAAAUAUGUUCACAACUUAAAAUACUUAUCAAAAUAUCAUAGUAAAAUUUUGAAACUAUACCUAUGUGAACUUUACCUUACUUACUAAACUAAAUUUACUUACAAUUUUAUCGAACCCAGAUUUUGAUGACGUAAUAUUUUAAUUGCAUGACCGAGUGUUAUCUAUAGCUUGGGAUGACUCAUCUUUAUGCCUAGAGCCUGCAUGUCCAUGUGAAAGGUAUAUGUUCAUGAGACUACAGGCAGCUGCUCUCUUUUUAAAACAAAUCUGCCCACAAGAUAAACUAUAUGAAGAAACAGGUCAAUCAAAACAUGACAUCUUCACAUACACAACAGCAGCUAGUCUAACAAACUGUCAUAUCCUAAUGGAAGAAAUAAAUGCACGUUUUCCGAAAAACCGAAAUAUUUACUUUACUAUGAUUUGUGGAAAAAUAGCCAUUAUCUCUUCUCAUUGAGGUCGGGAAUCUUCGAGUUAAGCCCUUCGAGUUAAGCCCCUCGAGUUAAGCCCUUCUCGAGUUAAGCCCUGACCACGCCCUGAUUCUCCAUGACCACGCCCUUUUUCAAAAAGGGCUUAACUCGAAGAACGAAACACGAUUUGGGUUGUUCGAGUUAAGCCCCGGGGCUUAAGUCGAAAUUUGACAAAAAAAGAUGUUGCUCGAGUUAAGCCCCGACUUUUGAAGUAUGUCAACAAGUGCAAUAUUAAAUUGUCAAAUUUUCAAUACAAAAAAGCCAAAACACAGAAAUUCUCCCGAAAAGAAGUUAUAAAUC